AGUCGAGUGCGCGUCUGUAGCAAUACAGAUGGCGCACGGCGCACGGGUGCGUAACACGUGGGCAAUCUGCCCUUCGAUGGGGAAUAUCUUCGGGAAACCGAAGCGAAUUCCGCAUAACAUUCCUUGGACUUCGGUUUGGGGACUCAAAGCCGUAAGGCGUCGAAGGAGGAGCCCGCGCACGAUUAGCUAGUUGGUAGGGUAACGGCCUACCAAGGCUUUGAUCGUUAGCUGGUCUGAGAGGAUGGCCAGCCACACUGGAACUGAGACACGGUCCAGACUCCUACGGGAGGCAGCAGUGGGGAAUCUUGCACAAUGGGCGAAAGCCUGAUGCAGCGACGCCGCGUGGGGGAUGAAGCAUCUCGGUGUGUAAACCCCUUUCGACCCGGAAGAAUGCCUCGCAAGAGGACUGACGGUACGGGUAUAAGAAGCCCCGGCUAACUACGUGCCAGCAGCCGCGGUAAGACGUAGGGGGCCAGCGUUGUUCGGAAUUACUGGGUGUAAAGGGUUCGUAGGCGGUGCGGCAAGUUGGGAGUGAAAUCUCUGGGCUCAACCCAGAGGCUGCUUCCAAAACUGCUGUGCUUGAGUGUGGGAGAGGCGCGUGGAAUUGCAGGUGUAGCGGUGA
rnacentral:rRNA from 1 species